GCGGCGGGAAGCGGCGGGCGCGCGGACGGGCGCGCGGCCACCCCCCCCAGCCCCUUCUCCCGCCGCCCCCUUACUCGAUGAAGAAGACGCGGCCGUCCCUGCAGACGCCGUAGGACCAGUGCUCAGAUCCUGAAUUUUAAGAAGAAAGCACAAUGAAAGCAGCUGCGGUGGGAGCCCACUUGAUCCCGGCAGAUGGAAAUAGCAACACGCCUGUGAGCUCUUAUGACUGCUCCAAGUAAAAUUGACUUUUAUGACAACUCUUCUAACAAGGGAUUUGCAGCGCUCUGAAAAGCACUGAAAUUGUGGAUGACAACAAAAUUGCAUCUCAGAUAGCGGGAUGCGAGGGAAGAACGGCAGCCUCACAGCCAGCCCUCUUGGGGAAAGGAACCUGAGUCCCACACUGGGUAGGAGCCUCCAUUCUCACCAGCACUAAGGAGGAUGUGUGAGCGUGAAAUCCCCUUUAAGCACUGCUCGCUCCACAGAGAUGCAUGGAAUAACCGCUUUGGCUUGGCUGCCAUGAGAAGCGGCUGCAAAGACGAUAGGGAACCACUCUACUGUUAAUUUGCAAGUCCCUUGAGAUUUCCACAUCCCUGGUCAAGUGUGAAAAAAGCAACUACAUUCUACAAACUCACAUUUCAUAUAACACCGCCAAAUUUUGUGCUGGUAAUCAGAGAAGAACUGGCAAAGCACCAAGGCAAACUCAACGCUAACCAGAUCUAACAGCAACUAAGAACGUAUCAAGAGCUCUGCUUGCUUUUAUCAGCAGACGAGCCGCCUUCUAACCAAACAUAAAGGCUUACUCACCUAUUCUGUCAAUAGAUAUUUUAGUCUCUGAAGGACAUUCUGAUUAGAUAGAAGACAAAGAAGCUUACAGCUGUUGUACAGUAGAAAUUCAGGAAAAGCCACGGAUCUACGAAGUCCUGAGAGCCUUUGUCUCCUCUUGCUGCACUUCACAUUCCAAUUCAACUUGCAGCAAUAAGCAGCACCACAGCCUGACUUCUUACACUGAGGUACAGUUGGACACCACAGUUUGUGCCCUGUAUGGCUCACUUGCAAUAUCCAAAGAGGCUGUUUUGCAAAAGGGCCAUCAAGGAUGCUUGUAAGUAUUCUAGAAAAAGCAGAAGCACUGCCAACAGCUGAGGAACAGGAAAAUCUCUACACAUUUUGCAGUCACUGUUUAACAUAAGGAGUGAACUAAAGACAGCAUGAAGGUUCAACAGAAGUGCUGUAUUAUGUUUUUCUUACCUUUUCUUUUUUUUUUUUUGCAGAGCUGCUGCUGUGCAUCCAUAUACUGUGUUGGAAAAUUCAGUAGGCUGAAUAGCUCUAAAUUUAGGCCGCAGGACACUGCAGCUGUGAUAACAUUUCGGAAGUGGAAGGCAUGGUAGAUACGUAACAUUGUUAGAUAAGGAAAGACAACUAUUUUUAGUCAAAACGAAGCUCAGUUUUGGCAAAGUGCAGGCAUUUGGCUGAUCAGCUCAGAUAUGCUCUGGUCCAUUCUCACUGAUGAGAUAAGAAGAGGCUGAGACAGCUGCAUCUGUUCAGCCUGGAGAAGUUGCAAGGGGAUCUUACCCAUGUCUGUAGAUACCUGCAGAGAGAUAGAUGGAGCCAGGCUCUGCUCAGUGCUGCCUGCUGCCAGGACGCAAAGCAAUGGGCACAAACUGGAGCACAGGAGGUCCCCUCUGAACACCAGGCAGCACUGCUCUGCAGGUGCCGGAGCACUGGCACAGGCUGCCCAGAGGCUGUGGGAUCUCUUCCUUGGAGAUCACCAAAAGCCACACAGAUGUGGAAAAUCAUCCUAAAAUUGCCACAUAGCAUUUACCUUUCCUAAGCAUCCAUUAACAGGUGUUUCAAGAUAUGUCAGCUCCACAGAGCAUCAGCCCAGCUCUGGAGAAGUCAGGAGGAAUCUCACCUCACUGGAAGCUGCGCUUACUGUGAAUCUAAAGAACUGUUUAUAUGGCACACAAAUACACGUGCAACACCAACUAUACUCUCAGGGAGAUUUCACUAAUUCACUGAUUUCACUGACUUGUGCCAGUGAAUAUCGGAGCAAACAUUUGGAUCAUCAGUGCAGUGUGGAAGAAUUUAUAUAAGCUCCUUGCAAUUCCACACAGAUUCCGCAGUCAUUUCAAUUGUCUCUAAAACUUAUAACUCGGCACCUGAAAGUAAGCACCAGCCCCAUUUUUAUCCCUUAAUCCAGCUGAACUCCCAGGAUAUUUGUUGCACCGCACGUGAACUUCUCUCGCAGUACUUUGUGUACAUUUGGAUGGAAGAAUUAGGCUACCAGAAGCUCACGCUCUCAGCUUAUUACACCAACACUGCACUCUUGUGGCAGACACUUAAAGUGAAAUAUUGAUGCUUUACGUACCACAGCUUAGUGGUAAUAUAAUCUAAUUGGCAAAGGGCGCACACGGUAACAAACUGCCAGUGAAAACGGAUGCUCAGAUUUUUGAUAGACAAAAGGCACUAGGAGCAAUGAUAGAUCAUUAGACAUCACCUUCUCAGAUGGAAAAUAUUCAGCUGUUCAUCUUCGUGCCUGUAUCAACACCAAGAUCUCACGCAGGAAGCACCACUGUUCCAAUUCUCUUUUCCAGACUGUUCUGGGAUACAUUUAUCAGACCAAAGCUAAACAGUCAGUCUAUGAGCUUUCAAGUGCAUCCCAGAAAUUCAGGUCAUGCUCAUCAAAAUGAAAGGUCUUCAUUUCUGUCUCAGACCUCGAUUACUUCAUUGUUUGAAUUUACACCAUGUUUGUAAAUCAGAUGCCUCUUCCUUUUCUUUCUCAGAAUGAAUACAAAUGAUCAUAGUUUGGGCAUAAUUCAUAUUAGCAAACUCACAAAAGAUAAUCACGGUAGAAUAAAUUGUGCAUAGCAUGAACAAUAAUCACUUAAAGGGCAAAUGUCCCUGUAACAGGUACAUAUCAGCGCACAAUGUAGCAUGAUAACUCAGUGGAUCAUGAGCAAGGGACUUUGGGACCCAUUCCAUACUUUGUUCUGCUCAGUACAUGAAUGUAGGUGUGAUUACUGGUGAGAGCAAGUGUUGGAUCUUCACAAAGGAGUGACUUGCUGUUCCCAUCUCCUGCCUUUUCCUUCUUUGAUGCACAAUUUGCAGAACUGAACACCGCCAUAUCUGCACACCCAUCUCUGACUCUAGCCAAUUAGUUUUGAGACUUCUCUUUCAUUUUAAUUUCUCCUGUUAAAUUUUCUGUUAGACAAAAGAAGCUGAGCUGUUCCCACUAAAAACUGCUACAAACGCCACUGAGAUUCCAAACAGGUCUCAUCUUCCUCAUUUUUCCCAGAUGAAACCUUACAAAUCAUUGAUGUUUCACAACUUUUUAAUGUUGGUACAGAUUUCCAGAAGUCAAAUUAAGAUUGUGAAGUUAAGCCAGCCAGAACAUAACAAAGCAGAGCCUACUUUCAAUAAGCAAUAACCCUGUUUUGGGACAAUCCUCCAAAUCAUGCAAGUUUACUUACACUCAGGUGCACAAUGGACAGCCUCCGUGGCCCUAAGUUGCCUGUUAGCACUGCCGUGGCUGAGGUGAUGCAUCUUGGAGCAGCACCUCCUUAGAGGAACAGUGCCCUGGAAGCGGUUCACAGGAGAGGAGAGGAGAUCUGGGGGAUCUCCCUAAGUCACAGUCAGACUGCACUGCGCCAUGCCAGCCCCAAGAAAUUGAACCUUUCUGUCCAAUCUGCUUUCUUGGAAAACUCUUAACAGCAACGUCAGUGCAUGUUUACACUUCAUAUAACUUCUCCUCUGUACACGAGUAAAGCAGGACAAACAUAAUCCUCCUCCAAGCCCAAGAAGUGCAUAUACCCAAUAUCAAAUACCCAGCCCUCAACAGCUACCACAGGGAACCUAAGAGCCAGAAAACCCAUUGGUCAAAUACAUCCCAUGACACCGCUCUAGCAAAGACCAGCAGCACCAUUCUUGCUCUGAAGCUCCAGAGAUGAAGGCUGAUGACUGCUGUGGAAAUCUUGCCAUGUUCAAGCACACAAGUUUUUUUUUUUUUUCUUUAAAAACUCACAUCAUAAAGAUGCACAUUCUUUACAAAGGGUUCCAAGUUAAGACUCGUUUUGCUUUGCCACUGACAACCUGCCACAUGACACAACACACGUGUCCAAGAUUUCACCCAACUGGCAUAUUUUGAUUGCAUCUGCCACACACAGGUAGAUCCUUAGGUUGAGAGAUACAAUGAGCUUUUAGAUCUCCUUUCAUACGGCUUCAUAGCGUAUGCCUCUACAGGAAUGAACUUGUCAACUCAAAUGCAAAAUGAAUGAAUGGCUUUUAAUCACUUUGAUAACGUUCACCUUAUUGCUUUGACAGGAUAGCAGCAGAUACAGUUUGCUGAUUCAGCCACUUGUAUAACGAUCUAAUGGGCUUUUCUGACUAAUGCCACACUCUAAAAAUAUAUGUGGGGCUAAUAAAUGAGCCUCUGCUAUACUGGAAAACAAGCUCAUUAAGACAAUUCCUGUGAAAAGUGGCGUUUUUAUGACAAGGUACCGAAGCAUUUAAUUACCUUGUACACUGACAGAGCUGAAAGAAAUUGAGAAAAACGUGCUAGCAGUGCAGCACAUCUUGAGGUCUCAAGAAGAGAAUUCUUACAGAUGCUCACAGACAGUAAUGUAAAGGGGAAUUUGAGAAGAAUUUCAGGGUUGUUUCCCCACAGGAAAGGGUCUGUUGUUGGCUGCAGACAGCCAUUCAUUUACACAGAACAGACGGCCAGCUCCUAUGAGGAGACUUGUCAUUACAGAUCAAUUAAUUCUCCCAGUUGUACUCCAUGUCAGAAGAGCAGCUGCUGCUGUUAAAGGACAGCAAAGACAGAGGUUUAGGAGGACAGAAAGGUCUUCAGUGAUAGCUGAGGUAAGGGACUUGUUUUCAUCACAGUGUUUGCUCGGAUUAUCUACCCCUUAAGCUCAUUCCCUGCUCUUCAAAUCAGCGUGUAAGGACAGUUAGAAACACAGCUCAUGCUGCAGCACGCAGCAGUGUGGUUAGCGUGGAGGCUGAGCAGCACACACCGCAGCUGUGCCUGGAAGUGACUCUGAGUGCCACCCCACAGCAUGGGCAUAACCGGGGUGACUGUGCCAUCACGUAAUGCAGAUGGCCUGGAGUAGCUCACUUGUUCUGGCCAGGCCAUCAAACAUGAAAGUGAACUCUAAGCAGCCCCUCUCUGUUGCUAGGCAGAGAUCUGUUCCUACCUUUGCUCCACUGCACUAUUUGUGUAGUGGCAUAGUAAACCAGACCAGAGAACUCUGAUUUAAAAACCAAACAGGCACCCAAUCGAUUCCCAACAUAAUAUACAGUUUCUUUUUUCUUCCCAAACUACAUUUAUUCUCACACCAAUUUACUAUCCUGCUCCUUCAGUAACUUUGCAGGCACCUCAGAAAAGGUGAGGAACAAGGGCCAAGGAGGAGAAUGCUUAAUCCUGCUUAAGCAGCACCAGUAUCAAAUGGAAAAUGCACAGCUUGUGCCCCCACUGCUGUAUUAAGGGAGCCUCAAGGCAACAUUCCCUUGAAGGGAUCAAGCUAAAUACUUCCGCAGGUGAAUGCAAGCUGCACUAGACGCAGGGCUUUGAGCUGACCUUCAAAGCACUGUAGUAGUGAGGACAGGCCCAAAGCGAUACCGAGUGGAACAGAAGGCUUUUUUCCACAUGAAAAAUGGUUUCAUUGGACAGUGACACUUCAUUAGCUGUCGACUUAAGUCUGGUUUGGAUCUUGCCUUUGUAGCGAAUUUCAGCUUUAAAAGAAAUACAGGCUGUGGUCUGCAUGCCACACGUGGUUUGUCAGGUCACUUCCAGUAGUUCUUCCCAUUUACAUCACAAGUCCAUGUAGGUGUAGCAGGGAGUUCACAGAACUGAGGAGCACUCUGCGCUGGCCCACACCAGUUUGUCCAACAAUGAGACGGGGCUGGUUUCUCUAACCAUUCUCCUUUUGCCAUUUCACAGUUUGGCUGCUGUUCUCAGUCAGCAACGGGUAUCUAUCUUCAAACCACAGUGACACACGAGGACAGUUUGAGCAUGAGUGCUGUCACUGUCGCGAAUGGAAGAGCUCAGAUUUUCCACUCACAGAUUCACCCUAACAAAGGUAGCAUGAAUGCCAAUUCAUUACUCUUUACAUUUACAAAAGCACAGCCACCUGUUUCAGUUCUCUAGGGAAUGCUCAUUGUUUCAAAUGACACAGUUGCAGCACACGUACGGAUUGCCAAGCAGCCAUCCAUUAGCUCUACAUAACGGCAGAAUCCAAGCUGCAGCACUCAGAGAGGCAGCAGGCAUCAGUACCAAUGGGAAACGUGUAGGGUAAGCAGGACUCUGCACGCACUUUAACCAUGGGCACACACCUGUGCUCCUUGCCAUGCUGCCAGAUGCACCUGCUCUGUACUCUGUGCUUCUGAGGCACUUCUCACCAGUGAGGAUUUUAACAACAGCAAAUGAGGCAUGGGGCACAAGCCUGUGACUGGUGCACCCUGGGGAGACUCGUGAAGAAUGUGUAAUUGGCUGCACGGGUAAAUACGCUGCCUAAAAAGAUGGGGAAGCAAUGAACUAGAUGGUCCCCCUAGUGUUUCCUUGCCUCUGAUCAUCACUGCAAAGCAAGCAUGAGAAUGUCCCUGCUCCCUCUCAUCCUACUGCCAGUGGAGUGAAAUAGCCCAGCACCUGCUGUGCAUUACCAGCUGCACGGAAAGGUGACCCUUCGCAGGAGGGCAGAAACACAUUCCACCACAAAGUGUUCAGCACAGUUCUUUCCUGAGGACUGAAAACAGCUGAGUGGGCACAAAGAGCUCACAAAUGCCUUAUUAAUAAGCGCGUUGGAUCUAAUGGUCUGCGAAACUGAAAUGAGAUUAUUUGGGUUAUCUCAUUAAACAAGAAUAAUAGCAAUAAUAACCAGGCAGUAAUUAGGAGCGGGCCAACCCAAGGACAAACUAAAAAAUAGGGGCCAAAAGGCUCUUAAUUAAUAAUCUGCAUGUCUGUGCCUCUACUUCUAAAUCCAGAAUUUAUGGAAUAAGUCAAGAAUCACAUCUAACUGAAAAGAUCAAUGUCAACAAGCAGGAAUAAAGUCAGUGCUUACCAGAGCUGUACGGGUCUGCCAUUCGCUCACUCAGCCUCAAACAUGUGCAGAGGCUAAGCACACAAAAAAGCAGAAUUGCCUCAGUUCUUCAUGUGAUCUUCACCCCUAAAGCAAGGGACGGUGAAGCCCAUAUCAACAUGCUUUUUUUUUUUUUUUGAUCAACAGAUUUUUUUUGAGCCAUGGAUUUGUGCAUGUUUCCCAUUGCCAGAAGCCAACAGCUGUGAAACAGCUCACUCCCAAGUUCGGGAAGCUAAGGCAAUAAACCAGUGAUAAAACCUGUUUCCUCCUCCUCCACAAAGAGAUUCCUGCAAUUUAAGACAGGUGUUGAUGAUCAAGGUUGAAUCUACAUCAGCUUCAAGCAAUACAGGAAGAAAGAUUGGUUUUCUGCCACGGUCCCAGGCUGUGGGACUGCCGAUGAAAUCACAGCCACCAAAAGCACCUGUUGGCACAACAGUCAUGACUUCAUUUGCACUCCACAUAAAGAUGCUGAAGAGAAGCAGAGAGAACCAGUCCUUAUUUAUUUUUAGAUGGAAUACCCAGUGCAGAAAAUAGUUACUACUCUAUCAGUGGCUUCUGAAAAGUUGUGAAUUUAUAGUCCAUGCUUUGCCAAGGCUGUCAGAACUGAGCUCGAUGGCAUAGACUUUAAGAAAAAAUAGUACAGCUUUUCCAUUGUUUAAGAAAAAAACAAAAACAAAUAAGAAACAGAGAAAGAGGGCAGGAGACUCACAAAGACUGUAGAAAGGACAAUCUGUGUCAGGACUGUACAGAAAGAUAUGAACAAAGGGAGCAAUCUGCAACAUGACGAAGGUUUGUACUGAUUCUAUGAAGUCCAGCUACCGACCUACAGAAGUGACAUUCACCAGUUUCUUGCUUCAUUGGUAAGACAGACAUUUUGUCCUCCAUCCAAAUGGGUAGUGGUCUCUUGUUUGAAACCAGAACAAUUUCCUGGUGAUGAGAAGCAAACACCUACAACUUAAGUGGAAGGCUUCUGUUUAAGCUAGGGACUAGGGAGCAGAAAUAAAAUCACUGCUCAAAAUACGCAUCACAAUCAUAAUCCACAGACAUUUUUCUGAGACAAAAAGGUGGACAAUGCAGACCUGUAGGACUAUAUACCUAACCCAAAAACUUCUUCACAGCAGCUAUAUUUUCCCAUCGAGUAUACAGUGAGAAGAAAGUUCCCGCUCCUAGUUCACAUGAGAAGAAAUAAGAAGACAAAUUAUAUUGAUGGCCAAUACUUUUGUAUGCAUUGCACCUACUCUGUAGUCUGGUGCUAACAGGGCUCGCUUUCCAACACCACUAAUAAGUUACCUCCGUGUUUAAAGAUUAAAAGCCAGGAUGCAGGAAGGAAUACUUAUUACUGCACAGUAUUUUACCACUGAACUUGUAAGCCAAGUAUCAGACUCAGCUACACAACAGUACUAAAUUUCUAACUUUUCCUGCCUGAUGUAUCUUUCAUCAUACUCAAGGUUGCCAUACACAAAGAUUAACAGGAGACCGCAUCAUGUCCUGCUCUGAGCUGGUUUGAGCAUGGAGUUACUUGUCCCACAGCAGCACAGCCACAUAGACAAAGCUCUGAGGCAACAUUUGGGUCCAUUUCCCUGAGCUCUAUCACAUAAGGAAGCCAGGCCUAGCUGAUUUCACACUACAGAUUGAAAGAGGUUGGGGAAUUGUUACAUUCAUUCUUAAACUUGAGCAACCAUCAAUGCAAAAAGGGGCAUCAACCACUGCCCACUAUCGUUCACUCAGUGUCACAUCCUGCAUCAGGACUAAGCAUCAUGGUUUACGUCCCCACAUGCCACUUUAAACUGCCUCUGCACUGAGCUGUACACCACUUCCACACCUUCCAUUUGCAUAUAAACACCCACCUUUGUUUAAAGUGUAACUUUAUGGGCUCACAAGGUAGCACUUGGGGCUGGGAUUCAGGAGAACAGAGCACCACACCUAGUGCUCCUUCUGCCCCCAGCCAACAUACUCCUCUGCUUUAUGCCCGUCUCACAGUUAAGGGUGGGUUAUAGUGGUACUCUAUUCCCACACAGACCACCGCGAUUCCUGGGCCAAAAGCACUGUGUAAGAGCUGGACACCAUUACAGUGGUGUCAGAGGGGCAUCAGAGCUGCACUCACAUUUGGUGAACCGCAGGAAACCAAACACCUUCUCCAGCAGUUGUCUACUCAUGGUCAUUACACAACACUGUCACACUCAGUCACCACCAGAAUAGCACAGGAACUGGGGAACACUCAAAUAUGGAGUCACCUCCUCAUACAUCACAGGAACGUUAUGAGGGCUUUAUCUGUUGAUCAUAUACAUUUUUGAGAUACUUGCUUGACCUGAACUACCAAAAUACUAUUUUUAAACAUUCUUGUAUUGCUUUCCAAAUACAGCAUGGCUGAAUGUGAGAAAGCUAGAACAAAACAGAAUUUGGACCUGAUUCUACAAGUGAUAUUUAAGGACUUACUUGUACCAUGAGUUUGAGCUGUAAAUGAAUACUCAGUGCAGAAGAUAGGAAUUACUCUACCAGCAGUUUCUGAAAAGUUAUUAUGGUUCUUUUGCCAAGACUGUCAAGAGCUGAGGAACUCUAUUUUAAGAAAAAAGAAAAAAAAUGUUAGUUUUUCCAUUGUUUAAAACAAACAAAAAACCCAGAAGAAAUACCAAAUGUUCUCUUACAGCUUUUAGUGUGCCUCAGCGUCCAACAGCUUAUAUUAUACAGACAGAUAUGUUUCCACCCCCUAUCCUGCAAAUCUCAACGCCUUCACCAUCCGAACUGAUCCUCUGAGAUUUGGAUCCUUCCCAAGUUCGUUUAACUUGAUCAAUUUUUAAUGGCUGUCACUGGUUAUUUCACCCAGUCAGUCAACAGCUUCUACAGUUCAAAACAGCAGCCACUCUCCUCCCGCUCUGGCGUAACACAGGGCUCAGGAUCUACAGAAAUUAUUCAUCUGCAUCAUAAAGAACUUGAAGGAACUGUAAAAGAGAUUGAUCCCUGACAGCCGCACUAAACUUGAAAGCCCCUUCCUGGCUCUGAAGAAGGAGAAUUCUGACCUGAAAAGGGGUCUUGAGUGAACAGCCUCAAAGGGAAUAAAAUAUUAGCCUGUAAAACCAGCACUCACUAGAAAACUCGGGUGAUCUUUUAAUGUAGGUACACCUCUUGCCGCAGGCACAGCCAACAUAAUUACUUGUCACACUGUAUCUCAAGCUGGAAGGUUGAUGUAACAGAACACACUUCACCUCCUUUUGCCCUAAGUCCUGAGCAAGCCUCCAUGUACUAUCCGCCAGUGCUACUAUUCCAGAGACCAAGUCCUGCAGGACAACAUCACCAUUUAGUGCUGUACCCCAAACAUACUGCUAUGCCAUUAACAUUACGUUUUUAUAGUGAUGCACCUCCAGUUACUAAAUCCAUGCUGGUUAGUGUCUUCAGUAAUCUGGAGGUGGCAGGAAAGAACUUGUGCUAGUCAGCAACACUGAUCGUUACGAGGGUUAUAGAUGGCUGACCAGAAGGAACAUUUAUCCCAAAAGCAUACAAGGUGAAGAAGGAGGGAAGCCUUCAUUUAUCGAACUACAAGUAAGUCUAGAAAUCCUUUGGGAGCAAGAAACGGACAUUCACAGACAUCCCAUUUGUGCAGUGAACACUGCUGAACCGCUCCUGUUGCCAAGGUAUGUGCUGGCACAGGGACGUUUCCAGGGCGCCACAAUGUAUUGUCAUGCAAACGAUGCAGUUACUGAAGGGACUUCCCAGCAACAGAGCGCAUUUUUUUCCACCAGUUUGAUCCUAGCAUUGAAAAAGAAACAAAACGACGGCAUGAAAGGGAGGCAGCAUUGGUCUAAACCAGAACCACGACCCCAGAGCUGUGUGUGUGCCAAACCUGCCUUCGGUGCGCUCAGUAGUCCCUGCUGCUCUUUAUUCAAGCAAGAACAUGGACAGAGCUGGGCCCUGCAAUCCGGGGAAUCACACGCAGUGCUUUUUAACUACAUUAUUUUUCAUAAGCUGUGAGUGAUGCUGAAAACAGUGGAAGACAGUGAUACACAAUCCUACACUCAGACAAUCAUUAUAUAUUUUUCAGCCACAGUUUGCUACUUGGAAUUAACUCACAUGAACUGGUUUUGAGUUGAAUGCUGUCAAAAGCUUACUGGUAGAAACCAAAAACUUCAAAAGCUCCAUUUUCCAGGAAAAAAGCAGAGGAGCAUCUACACAUCCAGUCAUACAUUUGUAAAUCCAAGUCUUUUUUGCCUUUAAUGAUUGUUAGUAUAAUAGCUUGGAUGAUACAUUUUUAGCCCUUUUCAGGUACAGAAAUUUAUGAUCUCCAGCAGCAGUAAUAACUGAGCAGAAUAACUGGUGUUCAGUUUCCCUUAUUGAAACAAAUUACAAGAACAAAUACUUAUUUUUCAUAGAAACUCCUGUUUGUUUGCAUCCACAAGGAAACUGGCCGCAUACCACAGAAACAUUGGUGAUGGAUACUUAGAACUUAAAGUCCUCCAGAUGUGUCCACAUCAAAUCUUUCCCUUAAGUCCUUGCCCGGGUUAAUUUUUCCCCAUCCUAACAGCCACCUCCCAGUCUCACUCUAAAAGAUAAGGCAGAAUUUGCAGUGGCUAUCACCUGUUUGUUUAAGAAUAAAGACUCACCUUUCUGGGCUCAAUGUUUCAGGAUGAAUUGCAGGAGUGAUGAGAAUGUAUCUUGUUCACACAUUUGAAUGCUGCCCCAGGUGAUCUCCACUGACUCAAGUCAACCUAAGCUACGUUUAGGUCAUCUAUAAGCAUUGGCUUGACUGAUUUGCAAAGCAGUAAAGUUUCCUUAAUGGAAACCAAGGUACACAGCUAUAAGUGCCUAGGCAAACACAAGCAAAGCAGAGAAGCUUGGAGCAAGUAAGGUGCAGGCUGAGGCCAAUGAAAGGCAACAGAGGGGAGCUUCAUGCUCCCACGGAAGAACCUGGAAUACACACAGAUGGAAAUCUGAAUGGAGAAGCAACCUAUAUCCCAAAGAACUCCCUUUUACCACCUCUGUGUGCCAUAAUGCAACGGAAAACUUUGCAACUGAAGGAAAACAAGUUUUCUUGGGUCCCACCCAUAGCUCUGGAAGCAUCACCACCUUUCUUAACACUGCAAGAGAUUAGGGUACCUUAGCAGCAAACUUUCAAAAUUAGUUGCUUACCAGACACAUGAAAAAAGCCUCUGUCAUACACCCCAUAGCCCUGAAUGACCUCGACAGAUUGCAAGAGUGGAAACACGAGGGGAGGCUUUUGUGAACCAACCUCACCAUGUGAGGUUCUCACCAGAGAACAGCUACAAUGCGUUAGAGGGGUCCCCGUGUACUGGGGCUCAAGAGGCCCUGUAGCUGUGUUUUUCUGAAGGAAAGAGAAGCCUCCCUGCAUCAGAGGAGCUGGCAGGAGGGGAGGCUGCGUGCCAGGGUCCACGAGAACAGAGUGCUCCUUUCUGACGCAUGCCCUGGCACAACACAGGGAAAACCUCACGCUGGAAUAGGGAGAAAAACAAUCACUCAGAUUUGUACUGGCUGAGAGAGCAAAAAUACAGCAGGAGGCAAAGAGCAACACUGGAGGUUAA